UUGGAGGAGGGCUAUUAGAGGUAGUAACUAAUGUAAGAUAAUUCGUAUCUUCUUGUAGAUGUGUUUUUGCCAUUACCUCAUUGAGACCUAGGCCAACAGGCACAAGUGAGAAACCAAGGAAGUUCAAGGCGCGGAGAGGAGUUCAGACUUUUGCCACAAUAGAGAAUCAAGGACCAGAUUUAGCACUGGGGACAAAGCUGGAAUAUGUUCCCUAGAGUUGCUAGACUCAGUUGUCCUUUAGCUUGGAACUAGAAUGGGUGAUGAAGCUAUUGUCUGGCCUACAAAUCAAAUAACAAUUUUCAUGUGUUGAUGCUUUUAGUUUUCCUUUUGACAAUGGUUCUCAUUAAUACAUUUUGGAUGCUAUUGUUUA